UGGAUUUGGUGCCUCUAACCAGGAGACAUAAUAAGAGCUGUUGACCAGCCAUCAAAAUAAGGCCUCUGUUCAAUAUCAGUUCCCACCCUCUGUAGGUGAAACCACUUUCUGGGUUUACUUUCACUGUAGUGCAUCAGCCUGUGUCUCAGCUACUAUGAAACCCUCCACACCUCACUAACCUUCUGAGAGGUAGAGGGGAAAAAAAAGGGAAGUGGAACACUACGAUGUGAGGAGCCGGAGUUAUGACACGAGUACCUGCAGAUUUCCACAGCUCUGGAACAAAACAAAACAUUUAACAAGAUUGUUUUCCAAGAGAAGCUGGGCAGUAGCCAGAAGACCAUAGUGGUUGAAAAGUAUCAAGUGAAUGAAGUGAAAUAUUUGGAGUAAUUGCUUCAGAAAUG
rnacentral:lncRNA from 1 species